GCGGGUGUGGCGGAAUGGUAGACGCCGGGGACUUAAAAUCCCCUGAUCUUUGAUCGUGCGGGUUCGAGUCCCGCCACCCGCACCA
rnacentral:tRNA from 3 species